UACGGGGGGAGCAAGCGUUGUUCGGAUUUACUGGGCGUAAAGGGCGCGUAGGCGGCCACCGCAAGUCGGUUGUGAAAUCUCUGGGCUUAACCCAGAAAGGUCAACCGAUACUGCGGGGCUAGAGUGCAGAAGGGGCAACUGGAAUUCUCGGUGUAGUGGUGAAAUGCGUAGAUAUCGAGAGGAACACCAGUGGCGAAGGCGAGUCUCUGGACACUUCCUGACGCUGAGGCACGAAAGCCAGGGGAGCAAACGGG
rnacentral:rRNA from 1 species